CCGAGCUGCAGCCGUCUCCCUCGGGCUGCUGCCGGUGCUGCGGGCGGAGGCGGCUCCGCCGCGUGUUGGGCGCUGCGAGCAGGGAGCGCUGCGGUAUCGCCGGCAUGGCGGGGCUGCUGCCUGCGUUAGUGCCCGUGGCUCUUUGUGCCGUGACAGCGGAUGGAGCGGCGCUGGGCGGUAAAGCCAGAGAUGGCCGGGAGAAUGCCCAGCGCAGGGAGCGGGCGGGCUGUGUGCUUCGGAUGGCACAGGUGCGAGCUGCAAAGCCACCCCCCCUUCCGCCCCUGCCCUCCCGAGCCCCAGGGAAAAUGCUUUCCAGCAUUGUCGAGCUUCUGAAAGACAAAACUUGUGAUUUGACACUUGCAUCCAGAAAAGGUUUCUGUCUAGAUUAGCAAAUGCCUCAAUUGUUCUUGGUUACAUCCCAUGACCGGUUUCAGGCAGCGACUUUAUAAUGCUUUUAGGAUUUUCUUGUACAAUGGUGAGAAAAUAGGCAGGUCUGAUAGUGGUUUCACUUUUUUUUCUACUUCACGUUCCAUAAGAUUCUUUUAUGCAAGCACUUGUUUUAAAAUUCUACUGUAAGCGUUUAUGGUUCACUUUUUUUUUCUUUGCAGCACCCGUGACUUUUUUUUCCCUCUAAAUCGGGAGUAAAUAUAGCUGAGUAAAAUUACCUUGAUUUUCUUCCUUCUUUUUUAACUGAAUUGUUUUUAUUAAAAAUCCUAUUUGAAUAUGUAGAAAAAGCGGGGAUGUCUUGUAAUAUAUCGUAGCUUUUCUUGUUUACAGGAUACUCAGAAAAUAUGUCUCCCUUAGAGUCCCACAGAAACGUUCUCAGUGCGAUCUCUAUCAAGUGCUCUGAGUCUUGAUCAAUUGGAGAAGAGCCCAAGAGAAAUUUUUCAUCCCUUGAUAUAAAAGGGAUCGGUGAAUUUUAACUUUGGAGUCCCCUAUGCUAAGGAUGCUCAGCUUACAGGUGAUGAAAUGUUCAGUAAUGUAUUUGCUGCAGCUCUGCUUACCCAAGCUUUGGGUUCCUUCUGUCCCACUGGGAGUUGCCCAAUUUGGUUGCAUCUGGUGAAAUUCACCCUGAGACCUUACAGAAGCAGCUCCAACUACGUGAGAGCCAUUUGCAGUUCUCUCCAGACGCCUGGAGAAUGGGCGACGUUUCUGAGGAUCCGGCGAGCGUGCUUCUGUCAAAACUCAGUCUGUGAAAUUCCUGGGGAAAACCCUUCUGUGUCCUGAAGGGUUCAAACUCUGGUGAGGAUCCAGUUAUCAGGUGCUCACCUGGAUGGUUCCAGCUCCCAAAGGGAAAGACUCUCGUGUCCUUGUCGUCGGGCUCGGUGCUGUCCAAGAAGAUACGGGGACUAAAAAAAUCAUAAGAAGCAAAAUAGGACUGCAGGGAAAAGAAGCUGGAGAGAACAGAAGACUCAUCACGGCGGGACAGCGUGAAGACUGAAAGUGUAAGAAGAUGUGGAGGGAAAGAGAGAAUCUGACAGGAGCAUCGGACGGACGAGUGCACGAAUUUUGCUUUUUUGCUUGGAUGUAAACUCAGGCGUUGAAAGGAAUUUGGGAGUGAGAAGGGACAUUUCAGAAGGAGAAGAAGCAAAAGAAGUUGUUGUUGUUGUUACAGUCCUGGCAAAAUCUUUUGUUCUAGCUAAUAAAAGAAGUUAGU